GCCAGGUCGGACGCCGGGCGGGAGCCCAGGCCGCCGCGGACUCCGCAAUCCCGCAGCCGCCGACUGGAGCCCACCUCUGCAGAGACAAAGAAAAAGCCAGUUGGCCCUAACUUUGAUGGAAGUAACCAUAGCAGCAGCCAGAGUCCGUUGAAAUGUUCUCUUCCUUCCCCUGUGCACUCCCAGAUGCCCAAGGAUUCAGCAAACACUGGUGAAGCAGAGGACACGACACAAGAGGCUUGCAUGUGAAAUAGCAAUACCUUCUGCAUUGAAGAAUAAAACAAUAUUUUAAAAUGAACAAGCAAAUAUGGCAAGUUGUUGGGCCCUCCCAAGCCCAGAAGACUUUACUGGUAUAUACACAUGGAACUGAGCCAAGAGUUUGUUCAAUUCCAAAAUUUUCUGAGAAAUAAUCUCAAUAGCCAAUUUGCUUCAUUGUCCUUUCCCUGUCUACCCAAAUAAAAGUGAAACUUUAUGACCCUCCUUUUCAGCUUGAGGAAUGAGGGCUGGGAAGAAACUCUUUGCUCUGAAAAGGCAGCCAUAUUUGCAUUUUUUCUCCUUGUGCAAAGGGCUUGUUUCAAAUAGGUGAGGCUAUCGCUAUCCCAAAAAACAGCAGAGGACGUACCAACCCAACCGACAUCUGAGAUGCGC